CAAGGGCAAUGUAUGCCUCCAUGCACUGACCCAACAAGACAAUGAUAUCAGCAAAGAAGGAUACAACUCCAUCUCACAUCAAGUUCGUAAAAAAUAACACUAGGGACUCUUCUAUCAUGGGAAUUUGUUUUGGUGACAACUAAACUCUUCAAUAAACACAGUAUGAGGCUUGUUGCAUGUCAACACCAUGAUCAUGUUGAUAAUGGAGAAGUCUUGAGGAUCAAGGCAUAUGUUCCUACAAAUUAAAAGAAAAAAAAAAGGAUUACUUCUGAAUCAAUUAAAGCCAUAAACUUGAACAUGUGAUCCUAAGAAAAGCAUAAAAAUUUUAGAGCAAUCAAAUACAGCCACUAUUUCACUGAUUAGUAAUAAAGAACCAUGUAGCUGUAAGAGU
rnacentral:lncRNA from 1 species